GAAGUCUGGGUUUUAAACCCUCUCUCUUCUACACACUUGUGAACUUACACUGUUGCUUUGGCAGGUCUCCAGAAGGGUUUCAAACCCGGACGGUCAGGUCGAAAGACGCCUGCCAAAGACAUUUAUCCACCCUUUUUUAUUGUCUGAUUUUUGUUUUAAACAAAUUAAAAAAAAAACUUUCAACAAUGGAUCUCUUGGCUCU
rnacentral:misc_RNA from 1 species